UACGGGGGGGGCAAGCGUUGUUCGGAAUUACUGGGCGUAAAGGGCUCGUAGGCGGCCAAGUAAGUCGGACGUGAAAUCCCUCAGCUUAACUGGGGAACUGCGUCCGAUACUGGAUGGCUUGGAUUUGGGAGAGGGAUGCGGAAUUCCAGGUGUAGCGGUGAAAUGCGUAGAUAUCUGGAGGAACACCGGUGGCGAAGGCGGCAUCCUGGACCAAUAUUGACGCUGAGGAGCGAAAGCCAGGGGAGCAAACGGG
rnacentral:rRNA from 1 species